rnacentral:rRNA from 1 species
UACAGAGGUCUCAAGCGUUGUUCGGAUUCAUUGGGCGUAAAGGGUGCGUAGGCGGCGCGGUAAGUCGGGUGUGAAAUCUCGGGGCUUAACUCCGAAACUGCAUUCGAUACUGCCGUGCUUGAGGACUGGAGAGGAGACUGGAAUUUACGGUGUAGCGGUGAAAUGCGUAGAUAUCGUAAGGGAAGACCAGUGGCGAAGGCGGGUCCCUGGACAGUUCCUGACGCUGAGGCACGAAGGCCAGGGGAGCAAACGGG